GCUUACGGCCACACCGCCUGGUUCACGGCGUUUGACUCGGAAGCUAAGAUAGGUUGGGCCUGGUUAGUACUUGGAUGGGAGACCGCCUGGGAAUACCAGGUGCUGUAAGCU
rnacentral:rRNA from 1 species